UACGAAGGGGGCUAGCGUUGCUCGGAAUCACUGGGCGUAAAGCGCACGUAGGCGGAUUGUUAAGUCAGGGGUGAAAUCCUGGAGCUCAACUCCAGAACUGCCUUUGAUACUGGCGAUCUUGAGUCCGGGAGAGGUGAGUGGAACUGCGAGUGUAGAGGUGAAAUUCGUAGAUAUUCGCAAGAACACCAGUGGCGAAGGCGGCUCACUGGCCCGGUACUGACGCUGAGGUGCGAAAGCGUGGGUAGCAAACAGG
rnacentral:rRNA from 1 species